UACGGGGGGAGCAAGCGUUGUUCGGAAUUACUGGGCGUAAAGCGCACGUAGGCGGAUUUGUAAGUCAGGGGUGAAAUCCCGGGGCUCAACCUCGGAACUGCCUUUGAUACUGCAAAUCUCGAGUCCGAUAGAGGUGGGUGGAAUUCCUAGUGUAGAGGUGAAAUUCGUAGAUAUUAGGAAGAACACCAGUGGCGAAGGCGGCUCACUGGACCGGCAUUGACGCUGAUGUGCGAAAGCGUGGGGAGCAAACAGG
rnacentral:rRNA from 1 species